rnacentral:snRNA from 1 species
GAAAAUACCUGGCAGGCGAGAUACCAUGAUCAGUCAGGUGGUUUCCCCAGGGCAAAGCUCAUCCUCUGCACUCUGGGUGUGCUGACCCCUGAGAUUUCCAGAAAUCUGGGAAAAAAAAAAAAAGUGGGAAACUUGACUGCACAAUUUGUGGCAGUGAGGGACUGUGUUCAUGCUCUCCCCUG